CGCUUCUCAUUCGCCCCUCUCGUUCCCCUCUCUCUCUCGCCCCCGAUUGAACCCUAGCCGCCGCUCGCCGCUGGCCGUCCUCGACUAGAGAGGGAGGGCGCCGCCAUCGCCACCAGUCCACCAUGGCCGCCUCCUCCUCGCUCCGGAUCCCCGCACCAACCAACCACCCCGCCGCGGGGGCGCGUCCGCGGCGGCUGCCCUUCCACGCCGUCUCCGUCCGCCCCCGCCGCUCCGCAGUCUCCUCUGCCUCCGCCACCUCCUCCCCGCAGCAGCCGCCGGCACCGGGCGACGGCGACGACGCCAACAGGCCCACCGGUGUGCCCGUGCCCUAGCCCUUCUCCCGCGACGCCGGGUAUCACGCUGCCUCGGCCGUUGACGAGCACGGAUCUGAUGGGGCAGGCCAGGGGGAAGGCCUCAGGUUCGCUUACCAGGUCGAGCCUUCUCCUCCUCUCUGCUCCUCUUAUGGAGAUUGGCCAAUGAGUGCCUUUUUUAUGUCUUGCUCCUGGUAGAGAGUAAGACUAUUAUUCUCUCUGUGCACUUAAUUUUGGUCGUUCCUUGCCUUCGUUGCUUGUUUUUUACUGGUGUAUAAAUAUGUGCCUUUUCCUCCUGGUAGGGCCUAGGGUUGCUGCUUUUGUUCCUUUCCUUGCUUUAUUUGUUUGCUUCUAUAUUUUGUCCAUGGUCUUAGUAGCAGCCUAUUGAAUCAUUUUGUUUUCUUGUAUGCCUUUGUUGUGUUGCUGAGGCUACCAAACAAAGCAAUGGCAUGCAUCUGGUGCAAGACAAUUAUUAUAGUCUGCCAUGCAGCUAGGGUGGAUAUGUUUUUUGGAAGAGCGGGGAUCGAAAGGAAGAUGUUACUAUCAAGGGAGCCUGAAGAGCGAAGCUAGAAGCAGCAUGGGGAGCAGCUAAGGAGACAUCAACACUCAUUAUGAGAACUGACUUAUGUAAGAGAUGACGGCACAAAACUUGAAACCACAAAGACUUCACGUCCACUGUAUGUCGUUCGCUUGGUUGCCACCAUGGGAAAGGGGUUAGUUAGGGUUUGUUGUCAGGGUCCAUUCCUCCUUCGGAUUGGCCGUCCUUCCUCUUUCAGACUCUGAAAGAUACUCUCCCAAAUGUCUCUGAAUAUGGAAGCUAUAUAUCAUCCAAGUACAGUUCCGAGUGGAAGGACGUCGAGCCGACGAGAACCGCUGGUGAUGGUGGUGAGGAGGACACCAUCAACGGAGCGGUGAGGACGAUUCACAGCUCAAUGCGCUUGGCGAGGGGAGACCAUUGGACGGCCCACGGUCGCCGUGUCCCAAAGAGUUUUACUCAUGAGACGCCGAUGAUUGAUGGAGCAGGACCUAACCAAACUUGAUGUUACAAGCUACACCCGUUGUCACCUGAAGUUAUCUCACGCCAAGCGAGGAUCAACAUUGGUGAUGCCUUACAGUACAGGCUGUAGAACUGCAUUGUCAAAUUUUGAGGCCGAGCUGGACUAUAGGUAUGUUUCAGAUCCAACAAUCAUGGUGUCUUUCCCUAUUGUCGACGAUGCGGACAAUGCAUCUCUUGUCGCAUGGACCACAACUCCCUGAACUCUCCCAAGCAAUCUAGCAUUAUGUGUCAAUGCCAAUCUUGUGUAUGCCAAGGUCUAUGUGGACGACCCGCUUGCAGAACACACCAAGGAGGCAAGGAGCUCUGGCAUACAAGGGAAUCCCCAGGUUCGUGUUAGGUGGUCCAUAUGAAGUACAUCGACAAGGCAGAUGGAUUACGCCACUUAUUAAUAUCCUUAGUGAUUAUGCCUCCGUAGUUGGCUCUGUUUAUUAUGUUCAUGUUCUUAUUACCUCCUUUUGUGUGUUCUCGCUUUCGGUACCGAACUUCAUGUCAAAUGGCUAUACUUUGUUGUCGUAUGAACACGUCGAGAUUGAUGCUGCCUUAUAAACGGAUCGAUGUUGAUCU